rnacentral:tRNA from 2 species
GCGCCCGUAGCUCAGCUGGAUAGAGCGUUGCCCUCCGAAGGCAAAGGUCGUGCGUUCGAAUCGCGCCGGGCGCGCCA